rnacentral:rRNA from 1 species
UACAGAGGUCCCGAGCGUUGUUCGGAUUUAUUGGGCGUAAAGGGUGCGUAGGCGGCGAGCUAAGUUUGGUGUGAAAUCCUGGGGCUUAACCUCAGAAAUGCACUGAAUACUGGUUUGCUAGAGGACUGGAGAGGAGAUUGGAAUUCACGGUGUAGCAGUGAAAUGCGUAGAUAUCGUGAGGAAGACCAGUGGCGAAAGCGAAUCUCUGGACAGUUCCUGACGCUGAUGCACGAAGGCUAGGGGAGCAAACGGG